GGAAGAUUGGUCGAGUGGACUAUGGCGCCUGUUUCGAAAACAGGCGGCUCUGCGAGGAGACCGGGGUUCGAAUCCCUCAUCUUCCG
rnacentral:tRNA from 1 species